UCGAACGAAACUUCUUUAUCACCGAGUGCUUGCACUCACCGAUAAAGAGUUGAGUGGCGAACGGGUGAGUAACACGUGGGCAACCUGCCCAAAAGAGGGGGAUAACACUUGGAAACAGGUGCUAAUACCGCAUAACCAUAGUUACCGCAUGGUAACUAUGUAAAAGGUGGCUAUGCUACCGCUUUUGGAUGGGCCCGCGGCGCAUUAGCUAGUUGGUGGGGUAAAGGCUUACCAAGGCAAUGAUGCGUAGCCGAACUGAGAGGUUGAUCGGCCACAUUGGGACUGAGACACGGCCCAAACUCCUACGGGAGGCAGCAGUAGGGAAUCUUCCACAAUGGGCGAAAGCCUGAUGGAGCAACGCCGCGUGGGUGAAGAAGGUCUUCGGAUCGUAAAACCCUGUUGUUAGAGAAGAAAGUGCGUGAGAGUAACUGUUCACGUUUCGACGGUAUCUAACCAGAAAGCCACGGCUAACUACGUGCCAGCAGCCGCGGUAAUACGUAGGUGGCAAGCGUUAUCCGGAUUUAUUGGGCGUAAAGGGAACGCAGGCGGUCUUUUAAGUCUGAUGUGAAAGCCUUCGGCUUAACCGGAGUAGUGCAUUGGAAACUGGGAGACUUGAGUGCAGAAGAGGAGAGUGGAACUCCAUGUGUAGCGGUGAAAUGCGUAGAUAUAUGGAAGAACACCAGUGGCGAAAGCGGCUCUCUGGUCUGUAACUGACGCUGAGGUUCGAAAGCGUGGGUAG
rnacentral:rRNA from 1 species